GUGUGGGUGUACUUUAUUCCCUCCCAGGCUGAGUAUGUAAGAAUUACAGUAUGGUCUACUCUCAUCUGUUGCCCUAGAGAUAUGGGGUUUUACGAGUAUGCCAAUCAUUUAAAAACUAAAACAGGAAGUGAAUGGUAAUGUGUUUGGUCUCCAAGGUGAAAAGUCAACAGAUUCUACCUUAUUGUAAUUUUUGUAAUGAUGAAUCAUUAGCCAGUGGAAUUAACAUAUUUUGUGUGGUCUUGAAAACAACAGUGUGGAAUUAUCAAACAAAAUCUUAAUCAAAGAUCUUUAAAGUAAGGAUAAUACCUCCCUAGAACCUGGAGGAGCUUUGGUGGAGAAACUGCUGGACCAGAAGGAGAACUCGAUCACAGGAGAAAGCUGUGCAAGAAGAAGAGAAGCUGGGAUGCUGUACCUUGGGUAGAAGUGGGCUGGGCUUCUCUCUCUCAGUUUCCUUCUAUCCUCCUACUCCCUCUGCUACCUCCACUCCUCUCAAGUCCCAUAGAAGCCUUUGUCUAUGGGGGUGGUUACUAUAGCUGGGCUUAAAGUCUUUCUUUUAUUAUUCCUACAAAAAAUCUCCCUGGAGUAGGCUAAUAUUAUCACCAUUUUACAGAUGAAGUAGCAUAUGUCACUAGCCCACAAUUAUAAAGAAAAUGAAAAAGCAGAAAUUAGAAAAUUGUUCUGUGCUUAGUUACCUAAAAAAGGUUCAUAAUAUCCAUGUGAUUAAUCCCAGAGUAAGUGGCAUGAAGGUUCAGAAAUAGCUGGAAAAUUCAGAAGAAAAAUUCUCCCUUUACCUCUAAAGAUUUUCCCUCCCCUUUUUCCCCCUCAAUACAUUUCAGUGGGAAACUUCUCAAUACUUUCAGAAAAUGAGAAAGAAAAAAAAACAUUAACUUUCCUUCCUCUGCCAAACAUUUUUAAGGUAGGUUUUCAUAUCUCAAUCCAGAGAGAGUAGAAAAUUGGGUACUGUCUUGAGACUCAGUAUUUUAGUGGCAGGGAGAUCCUGUGUACUUAUUUAAAACAGGUAUCUGGAGCGAAGUUUCUGCAGCAAGGAGCAGAAGGAGGUGUGGCCACCAGUGGAUGCCAAGAUAACCUUGCAGUGUUCAUGCAUAAGCAGCAGCACAUAAUGGCCUCUCUACCGCAAGUCACCGAGGCCAUGACGAAGCAUUACCAUCUCACGUGAGGCUGCUUCUCCAGAUGAAGCAGAGAUUGAAAUGUCACACCAGCAUGAUCAAUUAGAUGAUGUAGAAUAGAGAGGCAUUUGCUACCUGACCUUAAUCCACGGGGCAAGAAUGACUGAGUGGAGAAGAUUAAAUAUAGAGAGACUCAAAGG